rnacentral:rRNA from 1 species
UACGGGAGGCAGCAGUGAGGAAUAUUGGUCAAUGGGCGAGAGCCUGAACCAGCCAAGUAGCGUGCAGGAUGACGGCCCUAUGGGUUGUAAACUGCUUUUAUGCGGGGAUAAAGUGCAGCAUGUGUGCUGUUUUGUAUGUACCGCAUGAAUAAGGACCGGCUAAUUCCGUGCCAGCAGCCGCGGUAAU